AUACGGAGGGCGCGAACGUUGCUCGGAAUCAUUGGGCGUAAAGCGCACGUAGGCGGCCUGAUAAGUCGGAUGUGAAAGCCCACGGCUCAACCGUGGAAGUGCAUUCGAAACUGUCAGGCUUGAGUAUGGGAGAGGGUUGCGGAAUUCCCGGUGUAGAGGUGAAAUUCGUAGAUAUCGGGAGGAACACCAGUGGCGAAGGCGGCAGCCUGGACCAAUACUGACGCUGAGGUGCGAAAGCGUGGGGAGCAAACAGGAUUAGAAACCCUUGUAGUCC
rnacentral:rRNA from 1 species